GGCCCUAUCGUCUAGUGGUCUAGGACACAGCCCUUUCAAGGCUGCGACCCGGGUUCGAAUCCCGGUAGGGUCA
rnacentral:tRNA from 1 species